UACAGAGGUCUCAAGCGUUGUUCGGAUUCAUUGGGCGUAAAGGGUGCGUAGGUGGCGCGGUAAGUCGGGUGUGAAAUUUCGGGAGCUUAACUUCCGAAACUGCAUUCGAUAACUGCCGUGCUUGAGGACUGGAGAGGAGACUGGAAUUUACGGUGUAGCGGUGAAAUGCGUAGAGUAUCGAUAAGGAAGACCAGUGGCGAAGGCGGGU
rnacentral:rRNA from 1 species